AAAUAGCCAAUCACAGCCCUUAUUGGGCACCCUCAUGAACAUUUUUCAUGUUUGUGUUGCUCUGUUUACAUUUCAGAGUUGCUCGCUCCUGCCAGGGUUCUGGAGUCAGAUUGAUGAAGUCAAGAUUCAGAAGCCAUUUUGGGUACCUGGAGUCGGAGUCGGAGCCAAACCGCUUGUAUGUGGGAUCCCGGUUACACAGUAUAAUAAUGUGCGAGUUACAUCUUUCUGUCCAAGUGGCCCUUUCUAUAUUGGAGACCAGGGCGACUGCCGUCUGAACCAUAUUCUCACUUCUGUCCUGAAAACCUUGGUGAAGUCGCUCAGUUGUGCAUAUGCGGAUACAGAAUCAAAAAUACCUAUAUCAGGAAAUCCAAUCAUUCAGGAUAAUAGGCCCCAUCCUAUACACAGAAACUGCCACCCUUCAUACCCUGACUGCCCCCCCUUAACUCUUACACCCAAAAGAAACCUGCUGGCUCUGCUCUCUCAGGGUCCCCAGGGCCCCUCUGUUCUUCCAGCCAUACAUGUAGAGUCCCAGUAGCGUCCCAGUAGCGUCCCAGUAGCGUCCCAGUAGCGUCCCAGUAGCGUCCCAGUAGAGUCCCAGUAGAGUCCCAGUAGAGUCCCAGUAGAGUCCCAGUAGCGUCCCAGUAGAGUCCCAGUAGCGUGCUACUAGCUAGUCGACCACACGUGUUUACAUUCCAUUCCAACAUGUCACAUAUUCUUGUUAAAUUCAAUAGAAAUAAAGUUGGUAUGUAAAAUAUACUA